GAACAAAUUUUCAAAACGGCAGUGAGCGUUUGCGUCAGUUAACGCAGAGUAAUCGUUUUCUUUACAAACACACGAACGAUAAAUUGUGUGCACGGAACUGAUGUUAUCAGCAAUGCUAUCUCUGUAGCUGACACGAAGCGGAUAUCGUCCUCGUGACACAAGAAUCAAUCUUGUGUUAUAUGCAGACAGAUCUGCUGUGAAGGAAGGCGAUCGAGUACAACUAACAUGUCGUGUGGAUAACGCACAGAACCUGAAUACCUUCGUAUACUUUGAACGAGGAUCAGCUGGACAGCAAAUUUCCAUGUGUCAGAUAAAGCAGCAAGGCUUAAGUUGUUGGAGAACAUAUAAUCCAAACAAUGCAGGCUAUAACUGUCGUUGUGGUAAACAUACACGUCAGUACGAUUAUUCUUCGAAAUAUUAUGAGAUGAUAAUAGACAGAGCGAAUAUUCAAGACACAGGACCAUGGCAGUGCAGAGCUUCAAACAUCGCAAGUAACAGCCUAACAGUUACUGUUCAGAGAAUGUUAUCUGCAGACAGAUAUGUUGUGAAUGAAGGCGAUCGAGUAAAACUAACAUGUCGUGUGGAUAACGCACGGAACCUGAAUACCAUCAUAUACUUUGAACGAGGAUCAGCUGGACAGCAACGUUCAAUAUGUCAGAUACAACAACAAGGCUCAAAAUGUUGGAGAAUAGAUACUCCAAACAAUGCAGGCUAUGAUUGUAUUUGUGGUACACACACAAAUCGUUACGAUUAUUAUUCGAAAUAUUACGAGAUGAUAAUAAAAGGUGCGAAUAUACAAGACGCAGGACCAUGGCAGUGCAGAACUUCAAACAUCGCAAGUAACAGCGUAACAAUUACUGUUCAGAGUGAGUAGCCAUACGAUUGUGAUAUAGACAUAAGUGCUAUUUUAUUACAUCCCAUUCCCUAAACAUUUAGGUAAAACAACUAUACCUUUCCUAAUUAGUGGGCGUUUAGGAAGCUAUGCAUGCGAUGUCAACACGGCAAAUAUGGGGUGUACGUUAGGUGAUACGUUACUGCCCGGUGCCAAUUGGCAUGGUCGUCAAUUGCUGAAGAAAAGUGGGGGGACCGUUUAUGAGAAAUGUUUUUGUUGAGCAACCACCGUUCACCCAGAACAAAUAGACGUCUUUGGUGCAUUCCAAG